rnacentral:snoRNA from 13 species
AUCCUCCCGAUUCCCUUUCUUAUCAGAUCUGAAUACUGGUCUUGGUGGUUGUAAAAGGAAGAAAAGUAAUACACUGAAGCUGACCUCACAUUGUUGUAGUGUGGUAUAUAUCAUGUGGGCUAGUUUCAAACAAAG